UUGAUGCUGGCCUUUUUACCGAGGCAUG
rnacentral:rRNA from 1 species